UACAGAGGGUGCAAGCGUUAAUCGGAAUUACUGGGCGUAAAGCGUGCGUAGGUGGUUUACUAAGUCAGGUGUGAAAUCCCCGGGCUCAACCUGGGAACUGCGCUUGAUACUGGUAAACUAGAGUUUAGUAGAGGGAAGUGGAAUUCCACGUGUAGCGGUGAAAUGCGUAGAUAUGUGGAGGAACACCAGUGGCGAAGGCGGCCAUCUGGGACAACACUGACGCUGAAGCACGAAAGCGUGGGGAGCAAACAGG
rnacentral:rRNA from 1 species